UGGGGAAUAUUGGACAAUGGGCGCAAGCCUGAUCCAGCCAUGCCGCGUGAGUGAUGAGGCCUUAGGGUUGUAAAGCUCUUUCGCCGGUGAAGAUAAUGACGGUAACCGGAGAAGAAGCCCCGGCUAACUUCGUGCCAGCAGCCGCGGUAAUACGAAGGGGGCUAGCGUUGCUCGGAAUCACUGGGCGUAAAGCGCACGUAGGCGGAUCGUUAAGUCAGGGGUGAAAUCCUGGAGCUCAACUCCAGAACUGCCCUUGAUACUGGCGAUCUCGAGUUCGAGAGAGGUUGGUGGAACUCCGAGUGUAGAGGUGAAAUUCGUAGAUAUUCGGAAGAACACCAGUGGCGAAGGCGGCCAACUGGCUCGAUACUGACGCUGAGGUGCGAAAGCGUGGGGAGCAAAACAGGAUUAGAUACCCUGGUAGUCCACGCCGUAAACGAUGGAUGCUAGCCGUUGGGGGGUUUACCUCUCAGUGGCGCAGCUAACGCCUUAAGCAUCCCGCCUGGGGAGUACGGUCGCAAGAUUAAAACUCAAAGGAAUUGACGGGGUCAUAGCUGUUUCCU
rnacentral:rRNA from 1 species